AUGUUCUGUGAAAGGAACUGAGGUUAACACUCCCCUUGACAAGAAUGGAAGGGGCCCUCAAGCUUCACAAUAUGCAAAGUUAAGUCAUUUCUAUUUACUUUAUGGCUUCUAACCAUUGUUUUUA
ensembl:snRNA